rnacentral:rRNA from 1 species
UACGUAGGGGGCAAGCGUUGUCCGGAAUCAUUGGGCGUAAAGCGCGUGUAGGCGGUUCGAUAAGUCUGCUGUGAAAGCCCGGGGCUCAACUCCGGAUCCGGAUCCCAAACUGCUAGACUCGAGAGUAUCAGAGGAGAGCGGAAUUCCCGGUGUAGCGGUAAUAUGCGUAGAUAUCGGGAGGAACACCGGUGGCGAAGGCGGCUUUCUGGACAGAUACCGACGCUGAGACGAAAGCUAGGGGAGCGAAC